GGCAGCAUGGCCUUGUGGUUAAGGCACUGUACUAGCAUGGUGGAGAUCUGGGUUCAAUGCCCAGCCCUGCUA
rnacentral:tRNA from 1 species